CAGCACUUGGCCCCAGCUCCUGAAGUGCCAGCGCCUUCUUUCAGGAAGACUCAUCCUUCGAGUCAAAGCCUCUUGCUCUAAGAAACUGCACUGCAGUUCCUCAUGCAGCAAAGUUUCCUGCUGCGAGGAACGUGGGAUCUAAGGUCUACGUACUGUUUAUGGACAAACCCAUCUGACCACAUGGUGGGAAGGCCUGCCAGAAAUGCAGAUGUGGACAUGCAAUCAGAUAGGUGAAACAGCCACCAGCAAAUUUAUCAACAUAAAUGAAAGGAGCCUGUUCUCAUAAUCCACAAAGGGGACAGAGUACAGAAGAUCCAUUCCUACCUCCUGCUCCAGCCUUCCUGCUCCCUCCAGACAGUGCAUCCCAUGGAGACCCUGGAGCAAAUUUCUGCAUUCAGGAGACUGCUGGUUGCUUGUGUAUAGCCCCAUCAUCACCAAGCAAAGACAGUCACUGCUAACACCAUCUUCCUGAACUGAUGUUUUUGGAGGGCUUUAAUACUAAAAAUUGAUCAUAUUGGAAAGAAGUGUAUGAAAUAAAAUAUUGCCUAUAUGUGAUAAAUAAUAAAUAAAGAGAAC
ensembl:lncRNA